rnacentral:rRNA from 1 species
CGGGGGGGGGCCUAACUUUUGUCAUUUUGGGAGGGGCAACAGAAAAAGUUCGUGUUCUUUGCUCAAGUGGGGGAGAGGUGAGAAUUGUGUGGGGGACUGCCCCUGAGGGAGGGGGAUCCCCUGGGGAAACGGGCUAUAAUACCGCAAAAUCUCACAAGACCAAAGGGGGGGACCUUCGGGCCUCUUGCUUUCAUAUGUGCCCAUAUGGGUUUAUCUUAUGGGGGGGGUAAGGCCCCCCCUAGGCCACUAUCCCUAUCUGGUCUGAGAGGAUGACCACCCACUCUGGAACUGAGACCCGGCCCACACUCCUAGGGGGGGCGGCUGUGGGGAAUUUUGCACUGGGGGCCCACCCCUGAUGCACCCAUGCCGCGUGUAUGAAAAAGGCCUUCGGUUUGUAAAAUACUUUCCGCGGAGAGGAAGGCGGUGAUGUUAAUACCCGUGUCUAUUGCCUUCCCCCGCAAAAAAAGCACCGUCUAUCUCCGUGCCCGCACCCGCGGUAAUACAGAGGGUGCGAGUUUUAAUCAAAUUUACUGGGCGUAAAGCGCACGCACGCGGUCUGUUAAGUCAUAUGUGAAAUCCCCGGGCUCACCCUGGGAUCUGCAUCUGAAACUGGCGCGCUAGAGUCUCGGAGAGGGGUGUAAAAUUCCGUGUGUCGCGGUGAUAUGCAUAGAGAUCUAGAAGAAUACCUGUGGCGAACGCCGCCCUCUAGACUAACACUGACUCUCGUGUGCGAAAGCGUGGAGCGCACAUGAGAUUAUAUACUCUUUCAUCUCCAAA